UACGGAGGGUGCAAGCGUUGUUCGGAAUUACUGGGCGUAAAGCGUGCGUAGUCGGUAUUGAAAGUCGCGGGUGAAAUCCCAGGGCUUAACCCUGGAACUGCCUGCGAGACCUCAGUACUAGAGUGUGAGAGGGGAUAGUGGAAUACCAAGUGUAGCGGUGAAAUGCGUAGAGAUUUGGUGGAACACCGGUGGCGAAGGCGGCUAUCUGGCUCACAACUGACGAUCAGGCACGAAAGCGUGGGGAGCAAACAGG
rnacentral:rRNA from 1 species